rnacentral:misc_RNA from 1 species
GAUGAAGAACGUAGCGAAAUGCGAUAAGUAGUGUGAAUUGCAGAAUUCAGUGAAUCAUCGAAUCUUUGAACGCACAUUGCGCCCUUUGGUAUUCCUUAGGGCAUGCCUGUUCGAGCGUCAUUUAAACCUUCAAGCUAAGCUUGGUGUUGGGUGACUGUCCGCUUCACUGCGGACUCGCCUCAAAAUUAUUGGCGGCCGGUACAUUGGCUUCGAGCGCAGCAGAAACGCGAACUCGGGCCCGUCGUAUUGGCUCCCAGAAGCUAUCUUCACAAUUUUGACCUCGGAUCAGGUAGGGAUACCCGCUGAACUUAAGCAUAUUAAUAAGCGGAGGA